GUCUCCUGUAGCUCAGUGGUAGAGCGUCCGACCAGUGUCAGGAUGGUCAUACAUGUAGGUUCAACUCCUGUUGGGAAUU